ensembl:misc_RNA Metazoa_SRP Metazoan signal recognition particle RNA
GCCAGGUGUGGAGGCUGACACCUGUAGUCCUAGCUUCUUGGGAUACUGAAGCAGGAGGAUCACUUGAGGCCAGGAGUUCAGGGAUGUAGCGCAUUAUGAUUGUGCCUGUAAGUAGCCACUGCACUCCAGCCUGGGCAACAGAGUGAGACCCUGCUUCUU